rnacentral:lncRNA from 1 species
CUUUGUGUUUAGGGCAAGGCUGAGGGCAUAGCAGUAGCACUGUUCGUAUUAUUUAUAAAUGAAAUUAUGCAGGUAGCACCAACCGGUUAUCUAGAUAUUGUGGAAAACAUACCAGACAUAGUGAAUAAACAGGGCAAGGGUGAGGGAACAGCACUAGCAGUAGUACCAACUGAUUACCUAGAUAUUGUGGACAACAUAAACAAAAAUGAUGAAUAGACUGUACUUGAAAACUUUUGUAAUGUGAGAUGCAAUGUUCAAGGGGUGAUAUGAUGGCAAUAAUGAUGAUCAAGAGCCAUAAUAACACUGAAUCAUGCAUCUGGAUAUACUGAAAAAAGGAAAAGAAAGUGUAAGCACAAAUUAGCAUCAGAUACAUAUUGAGCACUUCAGAUAGAUGGAAGACUCACUAAUACCAAAUUGGGGACUUUUAGGAUUGAUGGAAAAGCAUACUCUUUAAUAGCAAAUCAACAUGGCUCUCAAACAAAAUCCCAACAUACUGACAUCAGCUGUGGGUUUUGAUGUUCUUGGAACUUGGUUGAGGAUAGUGGUAUUAAUAAUUUCAUGGUACAACAUAAGAUCCACUUUGGCUAAGUUUGUGGUGUUGAAAGAACCAUGCAUUUUGAUUUUGCUACAAUUUUAAGCCAUACACCGCUAGCCUCUUUUU